GUUAUCGUUUAUUCGAUAGUACCUUACUACUUGGAUAACCGUGGUAAUUCUAGAGCUAAUACAUGCUAAAAAUCCCGACUUACGAAGGGAUGUAUUUAUUAGAUUAAAAACCAAUGCCCUUCGGGGCUCCUUGGUGAUUCAUGAUAACUCCUCGAAUCGCAUGGCCUUGUGCCGGCGAUGGUUCAUUCAAAUUUCUUCCCUAUCAACUUUCGAUGUUUGGGUAUUGGCCAAACAUGGUUGCAACGGGUAACGGAGGGUUAGGGCUCGACCCCGGAGAAGGAGCCUGAGAAACGGCUACUACAUCCAAGGAAGGCAGCAGGCGCGCAAAUUACCCAAUCCCGACACGGGGAGGUAGUGACAAUAAAUACUGAUACAGGGCUCUUUUGGGUCCUGUAAUUGGAAUGAGUACAAUUUAAAUCCCUUAACGAGGAACAAUUGGAGGGCAAGUCUGGUGCCAGCAGCCGCGGUAAUUCCAGCUCCAAUAGCGUAUAUUAAAGCUGUUGUGGUUAAAAAGCUCGUAGUUGAACCUUGG
rnacentral:rRNA from 1 species